AAUGGUUGAAAGGUUGUUAAAGAGGGACGAAAGUAAAACAGUUUGGUAAGGAUUUGUUACUGGGGAGUAAAAAUGACAUUUCAUGUAAGAAAAAGGUAUAAAAUUAUAGAAAUAGUUGGGGUCGUAGAAAAGAUUUUGAGUUUUGGGUUAGUUUGUGAAAUUUUCUCACACAAUAUCAUUAUUAUCCAAUUAGGGCUUCAUUUGACUAAGAAAUAAGUUUCCUUUUUCUCCCGCCAACAGAAAACCUUCCCAGUUCAUUAGUCUUUCAAUCGUUCAAUUUCCUUUUUGUCUCUUAUCCCCAUUUCCUUGCUGUUUCCACUCUAUUCAAGAAGAAGAUCGAUACUGCAACGGAGUUCAUUGAUUUGUCCUCUACAGCCUUUGCCAGAUUCAAUGGAUGCCCCAGCUGAAGAAGACAUUCCUCUAAGGCCUCGGGUUAAGGUUUCAUUUUGCCUAGGAUCAGAGAUACAUUUGGUCAAUACAGCUAAUAAAGGCACCCUUUCUGAGCAGCUGAUUUCCAUGAAAGAGGAUAGCAUGGCGAUUUUGAAGGAGUACAUAACCAAGCAUAAUGUUCCUAAUGAUGUCCCGGACGAACUAGUUGAAGAAGCUUCUGAGGACGAUGAUGAAAUCACUGAAAAACCUCAAGUGAAGGCAAAGAAGACAAAAGUAACAUAAUUUCUCUUUCCCUGUUUAUGGGCCAAACCCUGAAAUUCUAAUGAACAAAAAUAGUGUCUUGGAAAAGAAUAUAGAACAUAACUUUAAGUUCA